CCUCCGUAAACGCCAUUGAAAGGGCAAAACCUUUUCCCGCGCCCUUCCUCUACUCUUCGCGGUAUAACACCUCCAAUCUACCCUUUAGUUUUUCUCCCUCUCGACCAGAGGCUUCUACAGUAGUUCGUUUCUCACUAUGUGUCAACCAGAGACUUCGCCCGUUUUCUUCUCUAGCAUUUGCAAUCGAUCGAUCGAAUCGUCGUUGGAAAGUGCCAUUGAUCGCUUGCUUUGUUGUUGUUGCCGGAGGAAUAUCAAGGAGGAAUAGCGGUUGAUCCGCCGAUCAUAUCCUGGGAGGAACUACAGAACUCCAACAUUGCUGGGAGGAACUACAGAACUCCAACAUUGGUGAUAGAGCGAUGUGGUUUUCAAGUAUGCAAGGAUCAAAAACAACUAAUCCCUAGGUUAUUAGGCUUUUGUGGAUCCCUUUCAUUCUAUGCUAGUAUGUGCAUAUACAAUAUCAUACUUUGUUUCAUAUAUGCGUGCAUGCUAAACUUUCAAAAGCUAUUUGCUUGACCUUGUUAUUGCCUUUGAGUAGCAUAUAUGCUGUCUAGACAUCAUUCUCCAUCAAGUAUAGAAUGACUUGGAAUAUUAUGUUCGCUAAGACUGGAUUUUUGUGAUUUAGAAAUUUUAAAUGGCUUUUGUGUUCUCUACUUUGGAAGCAUGGACUUGAUGGUUUAAUUUAAAUAUUAUUUAAGGUUACUAGUUUAGAGUUAGUUGGUAACAACACUUAAUGGUUUUAGAAGUUGGUGAUUUGAAAAGUUAUUCUUGCAAGCUUUGUUCUUAACUUAAAAUGAUUUUUUAGAUUUUUGAAAAAAACAUUGUGUCGCAAUUAGGGUCAUUACUCCUACCCUUCAGCAUGUGGUUUGUGUAUGACUUAGCAAUUUGAUGGACCUUUUUACUUAUAAUUAAACCAUAUAAAAACUUAGAUAUCCUUUGCAAUAAAGAUAAUUACACAACAAGGCUGCCACCAAUCUUUAGGUGUGGUUAGAAAAAUAUUUGCUUCGUUUUUCUUAUUUUAUUAAGUAGGCUAGGGUUAGACUAACCCGUACUAGGUCACAUCCCACUUUUCAAGGACCUUGUAAGUACAACAACCACUGUUUGGGUGGAUUAUCCACCUAAUACUAUAUUACAAUUGAGGAAUAAUGUUUUCUAAUACUAAUCCACACCUCAUUAACUAGCUUCUGUACAUGUCCUUUCCUUUCAAGUUGAUCUCUAUAUACUUCAUUCACCUGUUAACCAAGAACAGUUCAUUUUCUAAACUUAUCGAUUGCAUCAAAGUGACUAAACU